CGCCACUUGCACCCACUAAAUAAGUGGUACAUCCUGCCCAGUGAUAAAAUUUAAACGGCCGCGGUAGCCCGUGCUAAGGUAGCAUAAUCACUCGCCUUUUAAUUAGAGGAUAGAAUGAAUGGACAAACGAAUGUUCUUCUGUCUCUUUUUUAAUACUAAAAAUUAACAUUUAGGUGAAGAGGCCUAAAUAGCGUAAAAAGACAAAAAGACCCUGCAGAGCUUUAUUUAAUUUAUAUUAUUAAAACUAUUAUAUAAAUUAUAAACAAUAUAAAAAAAAUUUGGUUGGGGCAACCCGGGAACAAAAAAAUCAUCCCGCAAAUAAUCAGACAUAUAAGUCAUAAAUAGAAACAGCCAUGUGCUAAUAAAAAGAAACAGCUACCUCAGGGAUAACAGGCCAAUCCUUCUUAAGAGUUCAUAUCGACAGAACGGGCUUGGUACCUCGAUGUUGGCUUAAGGGCAGCCACUUCAAUGCAGAAGUUAAAGCGGCAGGUCUGUUCGACCUUUAAUCCCUUUCAUGAG
rnacentral:rRNA from 1 species